UCCCCUGGGAUGCUCACAUCUGUUGUCUCUAACAACUGACGCCGGUGACCUGGGGAUCCUGGGCAACUCCCAGACUCUAAUAUUGCGGGUUUGGGGCCGUGGUCCCUUUAAGGGGCGAGGCUGGGAGUGUCCCACCCUUGACUGCUCCACCUCAGGGCGUGCCCACUUGGCGUGGCGCUUUGAAACCCUCGACUCACUGAGACCUAUUCUGUGUCCUGGAGCCCCUAGCGCUGGUUGUCACUUGUGCAUCUGGCCCUGUGGGGCGCAGGGCUUGAGAUGAGGUUGGCAGGAGGGGACUGUAGAGGUCUAGCCGACCCCAAUAGAACAGGGAGGUGGCCAAGCCUGCCUGAGGCUACUAGGAGCUAGCAGCCAGCCUGGGCUGGAUGGGGGAGGUCGGGAGCAAGAGAGGGAAAGCGUGGGAGGCUCACGUGGAGGGCCGCCCUCAAGCUUUGGGGAAGCAGGAAUCUUGCCAGUUGGAGCUGAGAGAGGACUGGGAAGGGCCCCUAAGCGGGAAGCCGCCUCGGCAAGGGAAGGCUAUGCUGGAGUCCAGACACCACCUUCAUUUCCUGGGCACUGGUUAGGAAAACGAGGACAAAGAGACACCCCAGGAUGUGGCUCCCCUUCCUAUCAAGACAGGGAUGACUCUCUGGGCCCAUGGCCACUGCUUCAGUUUCUGCCCUGACUUCUCUCAGCAAUGGCCCGUGAUAUGGAACUGUAAGCUGAAAUAAAACCACUUCCUCCCCAA